GGGGGCGACCGGAAUUGACAGCUUGCUGAGGUCGCGUGUAAGCAUGCCGGGAGUGGGCGACAGUUCCCGUCUAAACAAAUCGUCGAACAAUAACUGGCGAGUAUAACUACGCCAUGGCUGCUUAAUCCCGAGCGGAUAGCAUAGCCAUUGUCUCCCCGGCCUACGUGCUGCUGGCUGGAUCAGGAGGCAUCGACACGCAGCGCUGGCCCGGCUAAUGGUCUUGACACCGGGUAAGAUCCUAAGACCUAAGGUUUCUGGUCGGCCUGACGCGAGCCAGCCUUAAUCCCGACAAUCCAAUCGCUUCUAAGCAUGUAGAAAGCACGACGGGUUCCUUGACUGGACGAGGGUUCAACUCCCUCCGCUUCCACUC
rfam:Arsenicibacter rosenii strain SM-1 scaffold1, whole genome shotgun sequence.